rnacentral:tRNA from 1 species
GCCCUCGUAGCUUAGCAGUGGAGCGGCGGUUUCGUAAACCGCAGGUCGGGGGUGCAACUCCUCCCGAGGGCU